rnacentral:snoRNA from 1 species
AACCCAUGGUGAGGGCACCUUUUAAAUAGAUCCUUGUAUCUCUCCCAUGCAUCAUAAAGUGUUUCUAAAUCCAUCUAGACAAAAAGAAGAAGUAUCAUUCCUUAGUUU